rfam:Triticum aestivum genome assembly, contig: Triticum_aestivum_CS42_TGACv1_scaffold_578514_7BL
GGGGAAAUAGCUCAGUUGGUUAGAGUGCUGGUCUGUCACGCCAGAAGUCGCGGGUUCGAACCCCGUUUCCCCCG